AUGGCAAUUGAACCUCUCCGUGACAAUCUGGAUGGCAUCGCAGUAACCGACCAACCAUACGAUGGUGAUUCCUCUUCCCAGCAGCAACUCACCGUGCACAACUACGACCUGAGUGGUCCACACUCAACAGUUCUCUCCCCAGCCAACCAAGUAAGUGUCAACAGCAGCCAUGGACAAAACAAAUUUCAGAUUGCUGCAGGGGGUAGCCUUGAGCGCCACCGAAUCAGAUCAAACAAUGCUCUUCACUACAUAAGCCAGAUGCUGAUGGAAGACGUUGACGAGGGGGUCGGCAUAUGCCAAGGGGCUGCUCUUCAGGCUGCUGAGAAGCCAUUCCGUGACAUUCUUGGGGAGGGAUACGCGCCGCCUACUAACUGGCCGCCAUUGCAUAGCAAAAACAUACCAGACAACCCUGAUAAGAGUGGGACCAAUCGUUACAAGAGGCUCUGGAACACUAGCUUCAGUAAUGACUAUUCCAGUUACAACGUGUUACAGCCUUUAGCAACCCCGUUGAGUCCAUAUAUCUGCAAUAGGAGUCCUUUUAUACCAAACCAGUCAUCGAUAAGUGUCGGAUUGACUUCCGGAUCUGGCCUCCCUGCCUUGCAUGGCCAGAGAGGUGUCAGGGAGGAAAGAAUGUUUGCUCCAAGUAUUGAUAAGCUGGUGAUAUAUUCAAAGAAUAACAUACUUUAUAUUUCCCAACUGACUACGAAGGAAAAAGUAAGAGAGAGGACCGAAAACACAAUUUUUGAGGUGGCAGACCCAAGGGGUUGGGCUAUCUUUCAAGGAAGGAACAAUGAACAUCAUGCCAUCACCACUUGUGCAAUAAUUCGAAAUGAAAGUUUUGACCAAGUUGUGCUAUGCUAUGGUCAUUCUGACCGAAUAACAAGACUGCAAGAAAGGAUGGCGGGGGAAGGAAACAAGACCUCACUGAAAGGCCAGAGCAGAAGUAGGAAGCAACCGAGGAAAGAGUUGGUUGAUCUCCGGACUCUCCUCACCCACUGCGCACAAGCUGUGGCAGAAGACAGCUACCUGUUGGCCAGUGAACUGCUAUUAAAGAUAAGACAACACUCUUCAGCAGAUGCUGAUUGUACUCAGAGACUGGCAUUUUACUUGGCGGAUGGCCUCAAGGCACGCUUGGCUAGGAUCGGGAGUCAGGUUUAUCGCAAUCUCGUGGAAAGGCGAACAAGUACAGCAGAUUGGUUAGAGGCUUAUAGCCUUUUUCUUCCAGCUUUCCCUUUUGGGAGGGCGUUAUACUACUUUGCCACCCAAGCUAUUCUUGAUGUCUCACAAGGGAAACCAAGGGUACACAUCGUUGAUUUCGGCAUCGGCUUCGGCUUUCAGUGGCCAUUAAUGAUUCAGAGACUUGCACAGCAAGAAGAGGGAGCCCCUAAGCUUCGGAUCACAGGUAUAGACGUUCCCCAGCCAGGUUUCUACCCCUGCGAAAUGAUCGAGGAGACAAGGAAGCGGUUGGCUGAUUACACAAAUAGGUUCAAGGUACCUUUCCAGUAUCAGGGCAUUGCCGCUUCAAGAUGGGAGACUAUCAAAAUUGAGGAUCUUAACAUUGACGAGGAUGAAGUUCUCAUAGUGAACUGCAUGUUCCGGAUGAAGAAUCUCGGUCAUGAAACCGAUGCCGUAAAUGGUGCAAGGGAUAAGGUGCUCAAAACUAUGAGGAGGAUGAACCCGAAGAUUUUUAUUUCUGGCACCGUGAAUGGGUUACUCAGUUCUCCCUUCUUCAUACAACGUUUCAAAGAGGUUAUGCUCCAUUACUCUUCACUGUUUGACAUGCUUGACGCAAAUGUUCCACGGGAUAACGAAGCAAGAAAGAUGGUUGAGAGGAUCCUAUUUGGGCAGGAUGCUCUUAACAUCAUAGCAUGUGAGGGUGCAGAAAGAACUCAGAGGCCAGAAAUUUACAGGCAGUGGCAAGCAAGGUGCCUCAAGGCUGGGUUCCAGCAGCUUCCUGUCGAUCAAGCCAUCUUAAAGAACAUAGUACACAGGAAGAACUUACAUUAUCAUGAAGAAUUCUUUGCUGUUGAAGAUUGUGGCUGGCUGCUACAAGGAUGGAAGGGGAGAGUACUUUAUGCUAUAUCUAAAUGGAAACCUAAUGAAACAUAUGGGGACCAGUAA
rnacentral:rRNA from 1 species